GCUGCAUGACGCACGUGCGCACCCUUGCGCCUACGUCAUGCAUGCGCCCAGACCCGCCGACGUCCUCCACCUGUGCCCACCGACGCCCGUCCCCUGAUUGGCCCUGGGGGUUCAAAAGCAGGCACUUCCGUACCUGCAGUGCUAUGGAUGUUGGACCCUGAACAUGCUGUGACCUUAUCUGGUGCACAGUACCACUGGUAGGUGUCCUUACCCUGACGCCACCAUGAGACCCUAUGCGGUCUCCCUCCCCCCGGGAUCCAAUACCUUGGAUCCCCUUGUAUGGAGGUCACUAGUGGCCCGAGAAGUCCUUACCCGGGCUCCUGUGUUUGGGGCCCCCUACCUGCACUACAGACCAUUGUAUUCAAGUAGGUCCAUCUGCCCAUACACGUACCCCAUGGUUGUCACACGGG